rnacentral:rRNA from 1 species
AUUAGAGUUUGAUCAUGGCUCAGAUUGAACGCUGGCGGCAGGCCUAACACAUGCAAGUCGAACGGUAACAGGAAGCAGCUUGCUGCUUCGCUGACGAGUGGCGGACGGGUGAGUAAUGUCUGGGAAACUGCCUGAUGGAGGGGGAUAACUACUGGAAACGGUAGCUAAUACCGCAUAACGUCGCAAGACCAAAGAGGGGGACCUUCGGGCCUCUUGCCAUCGGAUGUGCCCAGAUGGGAUUAGCUAGUAGGUGGGGUAACGGCUCACCUAGGCGACGAUCCCUAGCUGGUCUGAGAGGAUGACCAGCCACACUGGAACUGAGACACGGUCCAGACUCCUACGGGAGGCAGCAGUGGGGAAUAUUGCACAAUGGGCGCAAGCCUGAUGCAGCCAUGCCGCGUGUAUGAAGAAGGCCUUCGGGUUGUAAAGUACUUUCAGCGGGGAGGAAGGCGAUAAGGUUAAUAACCUUGUCGAUUGACGUUACCCGCAGAAGAAGCACCGGCUAACUCCGUGCCAGCAGCCGCGGUAAUACGGAGGGUGCAAGCGUUAAUCGGAAUUACUGGGCGUAAAGCGCACGCAGGCGGUCUGUCAAGUCGGAUGUGAAAUCCCCGGGCUCAACCUGGGAACUGCAUUCGAAACUGGCAGGCUAGAGUCUUGUAGAGGGGGGUAGAAUUCCAGGUGUAGCGGUGAAAUGCGUAGAGAUCUGGAGGAAUACCGGUGGCGAAGGCGGCCCCCUGGACAAAGACUGACGCUCAGGUGCGAAAGCGUGGGGAGCAAACAGGAUUAGGUACCCUGGUAGUCCACGCCGUAAACGAUGUCGACUUGGAGGUUGUGCCCUUGAGGCGUGGCUUCCGGAGCUAACGCGUUAAGUCGACCGCCUGGGGAGUACGGCCGCAAGGUUAAAACUCAAAUGAAUUGACGGGGGCCCGCACAAGCGGUGGAGCAUGUGGUUUAAUUCGAUGCAACGCGAAGAACCUUACCUACUCUUGACAUCCAGAGAACUUUCCAGAGAUGGAUUGGUGCCUUCGGGAACUCUGAGACAGGUGCUGCAUGGCUGUCGUCAGCUCGUGUUGUGAAAUGUUGGGUUAAGUCCCGCAACGAGCGCAACCCUUAUCCUUUGUUGCCAGCGGUUAGGCCGGGAACUCAAAGGAGACUGCCAGUGAUAAACUGGAGGAAGGUGGGGAUGACGUCAAGUCAUCAUGGCCCUUACGAGUAGGGCUACACACGUGCUACAAUGGCGCAUACAAAGAGAAGCGACCUCGCGAGAGCAAGCGGACCUCAUAAAGUGCGUCGUAGUCCGGAUUGGAGUCUGCAACUCGACUCCAUGAAGUCGGAAUCGCUAGUAAUCGUGGAUCAGAAUGCCACGGUGAAUACGUUCCCGGGCCUUGUACACACCGCCCGUCACACCAUGGGAGUGGGUUGCAAAAGAAGUAGGUAGCUUAACCUUCGGGAGGGCGCUUACCACUUUGUGAUUCAUGACUGGGGUGAAGUCGUAACAAGGUAACCAAU